AAACUCUGGAAAGCGCGUCGUCGGACCCUUUAGGGUCAGGCGGCCCACCGACGAUGAAAGCCGCGACGUCCCUUCGGGCAGAGCGGUGAAUCUUUCAGGUUCCCAGACAGAGGGGGGCAA
rnacentral:ncRNA from 1 species